rnacentral:tRNA from 1 species
GGGGACGUGGCGAAAUUGGUAGACGCACUGGAUUUAGGUUCCAGCGCCGCAAGGUGUGAGAGUUCGAGUCUCUCCG